UCCAGGUGCUUGGGGGUGCAGCACCCAUCUUCUGGAUGUCCCCACGUCUCGGCAGGGCACUGAUGUUCGCUGCUUUCCCCUCGCAGUACACGCCUGGCCAUGCUCAGCAACAACCUGACGCACUGGAAGAAGCUGCCCCUGCUGCCAUCUCUGACCAACCAACCACACCAAGUGCUCGCCAGUGACCCUGUCCCCUUCGCAGACCUGCAGCAGGUGUCCCAGAUAGCCGCCUAUGCCUUCAGUGCGCUCUCACAGAUCCGUGUCAACGCCAAAGAAGAACUGGUUGUACAGUUUGGCAUCCCCUGAACCUGCCCCCACCACUGCUGCUUCAGCGCUUUGGGUUGUUUUUGGUUUAUUUCCUGAUUGUUUUUUUUCCUCUUUAUAUCCCUUCCCUCCCCAUGCUGCUGCCACAGAACUUGGACAGAUAUCCUGUUUCCUACUAAAUGCCAAGGCGCACAUCAUUGGCACAUUGAGCC